GGGGGCGGGGCCGCGAGCGUGGCUCGGGGCCCUGAGCCAUUCCUGAAGCCAUGCGCUGCCCGGGACAUUGGCGACCCCGCGUCCGGCAUGGACAGCUGCAAGCCCAGCCCCCUCAUCAAGCCCUUUGGGGCUCGGAAGAAGCGGAGCUGGUAUCUUACCUGGAAGCAUAAACUGACGAACCAGCGGGCCCUGAGGAGAUUCUGUCAGGCAGGGGCCGUGCUUUUCCUGCUGGUGACUGCCAUUGUCAACAUUAAGUUGAUCCUGGACACUCGCCGAGCAAUCAGUGAAGCCAAUGAAGACCCAGAGUCAGAGCAAGACUGUGACGAGGCUCUAGGCCACCUGGAGCCCCCACCGCACAGAGGCAGCAGUCCUCGUCAGGUCCACGACAAGGAGGCGUACUCGAGCUGCAGCAGAGAAUGCGUGGCAGUAGAUGGCACCACGGUGCUGGAGGACGAGGCCUGGGAGCAGGGUCGGAGCAGUUAUGUCAUCAUCCUCAACGAGGCCACAGGCCAUGUGAUGAUGAAGAGUGUGUUUGACACGGGAUUACCUCAGGAGGAUGAGGCCGUGGUACUAUUUCUCACCAUGAUCCGUCCGCCCGGCGGAGUGCUCAUCUGCGCGGUUAAAGUGAGGGAUCCUUCCACCUUAAAGACACAACCAAGCCUCUGCUGAGGAGCCUGGGCAGCCAGACUGGCCCUUCCCUGGGCUGGAGGGACUCCUGGGCCUUCGUGGGAUAAAAAGGAUGUCCUAUCCACAGGGAGAAACGUUCGAAGUCACCUGCCCACUUUUCCUGCGGGUAUCCCGUCCUGCGG